rnacentral:rRNA from 1 species
AAAGCGAUUAGUGAAAGGUCACGGCUCAACCGUGGAUACAUUAUUCGAACUUCUAAGCUAGAGGACAAGAGAGGUAGCUGGAAUUCCUAGUGGAGGAGUGAAAUCCGUAGAUAUUAGGAGGAACACCGAUGGCGUGGGCAGGCUACUGGCUUGUUCCUGACACUGAGGCACGAAAGCGUGGGGAGCGAACGGGAUUAGAUACCCCGGUAGUCCACGCCGUAAACGAUGGAUGCUA